rnacentral:rRNA from 1 species
UCUUCCGUAGGUGAACCUGCGGAGGGAUCAUUACUGAGUUUAUGCUCUACAACCCUUUGUGAACAUACCUAUAACUGUUGCUUCGGCGGGUAGGGUCUCCGCGACCCUCCCGGCCUCCCGCCUCCGGGCGGGUCGGCGCCCGCCGGAGGAUAACCAAACUCUGAUUUAACGACGUUUCUUCUGAGUGGUACAAGCAAAUAAUCAAAACUUUUAACAACGGAUCUCUUGGUUCUGGCAUCGAUGAAGAACGCAGCGAAAUGCGAUAAGUAAUGUGAAUUGCAGAAUUCAGUGAAUCAUCGAAUCUUUGAACGCACAUUGCGCCCGCCAGCAUUCUGGCGGGCAUGCCUGUUCGAGCGUCAUUUCAACCCUCAAGCUCUGCUUGGUGUUGGGGCCCUACAGCUGAUGUAGGCCCUCAAAGGUAGUGGCGGACCCUCCCGGAGCCUCCUUUGCGUAGUAACUUUACGUCUCGCACUGGGAUCCGGAGGGACUCUUGCCGUAAAACCCCCAAUUUUCCAAAGGUUGACCUCGGAUCAGGUAGGAAUACCCGCUGAACUUAAGCAUAUCAAUAAGCGGAGGAAU